CCCAAAUAGACUUCUCUUUAGUCUCUCUUGCAGUCAUAUCAUGUUUAGUACUGGAAAAGAUAAAUAUGAAAACCAAACGAAAUGGAUUACUGUUUUUUAAUCAAGAGAAGAAAACUGGAAUUUAUUUCUAGGGUUCAACCUGCUGCAAAUCAGUUAAACAAUCUGAUUCUCAGGAGAAAUAUGUCCGAUUAAGGGAAGACAAUGAGGUUUACGACUCGACAGACAUAACAUGUGGUUUACCCGAACAAGUUCAGAUUUCUGUCCAGUGUCAGGAGGACCCUGAGGGUAACAAUGGAUUCAUAAUAUAUGACAUGGAGGCCAUUCCUGUUGCCAACUUCCUGUUACCUUCCAAAGCAAAAGAUCAUGCUAAAGAUGAAGGAUAAUAUAAAUAACUUACAAAAGAAAAAACACACAAAAAAACAAUUUUAUAUUAUUACUUUGUUAAAAUUAUUAUUAUUCAUGUUGUUAUUACCUACAACAACAUUGUGUAUUCUUUUGUGUUAUGGUCUCUGUGAACUGGAUGCUCCUAUAUGGGCAA